CUUCCUCAGUGCUGCCAACCAGACACCCAGCCCAUGGCAAACCCUGGCCUAGGGCUGCUCCUGGCCCUGGGCCUGCCUCUGCUGCAGGCCUGCUUAGGCCCAGCCUUGAGACAAACCUCCACAGCAGGGGCCCCUUCUGUAAAUGAGAGCAGCACUAUCAUGCCCACCAGCUCCAGCUCCAAAGGGACCCUGUCUCAGGGGGCAUCACUGCUAUCAUGUGGACUAAUCCAUCCUGGCCACCCUACUCCUGGCUGUGGGACUGGAACUACUGGUGCAGAAGCUUCAGGAGAAGCAUAGAUGGAGGCGGAAACCUACCUACCCAGCAGCCAGGAACAGGUGGGUGCCCAUGCGCCACAGACCCUCAACUUCAAAUUGCCUCCGGAGG
rnacentral:lncRNA from 1 species